rnacentral:lncRNA from 1 species
ACAGAAAAGUGAGGCUUAAGGAGCUGGGGCCUUCAGCCGAGGACACGGACCCGCCGGGAUCUGAUGGCCCCCAAGGCAGAGCUGGUGACGUCACAGAAAAACCAUGGGCUUGAGGUAGCGAGGUUGGGCUCCACUCCAGUGGCCUGGCCGUGGUGAGAAGGCGUGGUACCACCACACCCUGCUGAGAAGUGCCGGCCCUCGGAUGGCUUUCUUGGCUCGCUUUGCAGACAAUACCAUCUCUCCCGCGGGGAGCCACGUCUCCCAUAGCCCGCACGCCUGGGGUUCAGGUGGGGCCGACCCCACCCUGUGGCUUUAGACUCAGGAUGUGACCCAGUCACGAACACAGACUUGGAGACUCUGUAGCAGCUGUGGGUGAAGAAGACACUCUUCCUGCGGGAGCUGCCAAGAUGAUAGGAUGCGGCUUGGAACUGCAGGUAGCCAUCUUUCUCCGCCUGGGAACGAAGCCAACAAGGAGGAAAGAGAACUAAGAGAUGGAGAGAAUGGGCCGUCAGGCAUCAGUAAGCCCCUGGGUCCAGCCACACCUGAAGCCGACUGCACCCCUGGCCUAACCUGGUUGUAUGAGCCAAUGCCUUUCUCUGGUUGGGUUUAUGUUACAAAGGGUUCUAAUACAGGGCAGUAUUUUUCUUUGCUCUGAAUUGUACUUUCUAUGCAAUGAAAUCCACCGAUGUUAAGUGUACAAUUCAGAAGUCUAGUCAGACAUGUACACCCUUGCAGAGACCACCGUAAUGAAGGUACGUAACGUUUCUCAUCACCCCCCAGAUGUUCUGUCGCUCCCACGCCAGCCAGCCCCUCCUGCCUCGGCCACUGACAGGCCUUUGCUCCAGUGGUUGCCUUUGCCUUUCCUAUCGCCUGGUGUGCGUGUGUGUGGUCACUUACCCGUGGCAGGUUUGGAGAGCCAUCCGUUUGCAUCAGCAGGGCAUCGCGUGUGUGCACACGGUUUGUCCAUGGAUUGGAUGCUGGCUGUUUAGAAUACACUCAUGGAGAACACCCACACGGCCAUCUGUGCACGUGUCUGUGUCGGUACCUGGACGUCCAUCUCAUUUUACAGUGGCGGAGGCCAAGGCUCAGAGUGGUGGGUCAACUUGUCCAGGGUCGCGGGGCUGGUGCAGGGGCUACAGCUGCGGUGCCGGGGUGCCCUCCAUGCAGGCAGCUUGAGGCCACUCAGGGAGGAGCUCACAGAACCCUGGAAGCAAGAGCGCGGCUGCAAGGAGGACGCGGCUGCAAGGAGGACGCUCAAGACAAGGCACAGCCUUGACCCUCACCUGUCACCCCUCCCUGUGGAUCCCAGGGCUUCAGAGGCGAUUUCCACCAAACAGAUCAUGGGCAGAACGCCAGGCGCCGCCGCCUCCCGGGGGAUCCAGAAGCACCUGUGCGCUGACCGUCGGGUCCCUGAGUGGGCCAGCAGAGGGCGGGACCUGCAGUGGAAAUCAUUCCAGCCAGAGACAGCACCAUGGAGGCCCCUAUCCUCUCCACCCUCGAGGGAGGUACUGAGAAGUCAAGUCACAGAGCUGGAGCGAGGGUCUGUCGCAUCCGUAUGUCUCCCCCCAUCUCCCCUGCCCCAUGCACUGGACCCCGCGCCACUUGCCCUGCCUCGAGGAGCAAAGUCCCGGCAGCUCCACAGCGGAAGCCGACGACAGCCCGGGUUCCCAAAGGGCUGGCGAAGGGGCCGGAAGUGCCAGGCCGGUAGUGUGGGCGGGGCUUGUUCUGGGAGGAUGGGAGGCUGCGUCCCUCGCGCUUGUUCCUGCACUGCUGUGCGGCUCGGUGUGCGCCGUGCAUGGCUGCCCAGCUGUCUCCCCGCCCCUCACUUCUGCUCCCUCCGCCUUGCUGCUCUGGGAUUCUGCCUCCACCUCCAAGCGGAGCGCUUCGUUCCUCGCCAACAGCUGUUUCCCAGGGAACCCGGCACGCCGGCUCCAGGGGUCGGUCCAGCAACUGUGUGGCCGCAGCAGGUGUCGGACUCGAGGGCGGAGGCGUGGCGGCGGGAGUGACUGUGCACUGCUGUGCUCUCAGCACAGGGCUGGCAGAGCAGGUGGGGACAAGGAUGCUGCCACACUUCUCAGUGCCCUGAUCCCUUCCCACCCACGCACGAGGUCCCAUCGGCCGAGUCGUCUCUGUCCCGGCCAGGAUUACACAGGCUGUGGCCUGCCUGCUGCCUCUUCUGCCUGUUACGGGUGCAUCGGCGCUCCCAGAUCCUCUAGGUACGAAACGCUGGCGAGUGCUUGGCUUCUCUGAGCCACUUGCUCCGUCUGUUGGAUGGGACUGCUGGGAGUCUGACUCCAGUCUUGAGCCUGGUGCGGGGGUGUAGGGGGCAUUGUCAAAACUGCUUGUCCAUCAUCACUUCUUGCAGGGACAGCCCCGCUCCUGGAGGCCACCCCUCCUCCGUUCCCAGUGAAAGCUGCUGAGCCUUGCCCCACCCUGUUCCACAAGGACCAGGCAGGGGACCCGAGUCUGUCCGGUCCCUGUAGCAGUGCCCCAGAGUUUCACUAAAACCAUUAGCUUGGAGCUGAGGACGUUGUUACUGUUUGGCCAUGGGAGACUGGAGAGUGGGGAGGCAAGAGAUGGAAUCAGACACAUAGGUCUGCUGAUGCCUCUGUGGCCCCAUGGAUCCAGCUGUGCCAGGAGCUGGUUACCCUCUCGUAGGUUUAGGAACGAACCGUCAGCCAAGUUUGUCUUCGCUUAAGCCAGUUUGAGUUGAGUUGAUCACUUAACACAGGACGUAACUCUUCCCAUCUCAUUCUACAGGGCCAACUUUACCUCGAAUCCAGAACCAGACAUGGAGACAACAAAAAGAGAAAACUGUAGGACAAUUUCUUUGAUGAAGACGGAUGCAGAAGUUCCCAGUGAAAUACCAGCAAAUUGAACCCAAAACACAUCAGAAAGAGCCCUCACGCUCACCAAGUGAGAUGGAUCCCAGCAGUGCAAGGAGGGUUCAGCACACACGCAUUGGGGACGUCAUCCUUGUCAACAGAAUGAAGAAUGAAAAUCGUGAUUCCUCAAGAGAUGAAGGAAAGUAUUGAAUAAAAUUCAACAUCCAUUCCUGAUUUUAAAAACG